CAGGAGGCAGCCAAUCAGUGAUUCGCUCUCAUCAUUGAUGUUUCUAUUCCUCUCUUCCUCUCUCUUCCUCUCUGAAAUAAAUGAUAAAAAAUAUUUUUUUUUAAAAAGAUCUGCUCAAUGAAACACUUCUUUUUUCUAUGGUCAUUGGCUGCAUUAUCAAGGGUGCUUUAAAUAAUAGUAAGUCCUAACAUGGCAAUAGUGACUUUAAUGUUUUUCAUUUUUAAGUAUACUUUUGCUAUGGACUACUGAACUGAUUGUAGUUUUACUCCUGUUGUAAUCUUUGGUUCCCAGGUGGAAAGUGCAACAGCAGGAGCUCAACCAGCAACAGUGGUUUCUAAUAUAACUAAAAUAAAUGCACUGUGAAAGUUUUACAAAAUAUGCAGUGUGAACUUUGAUGGUGAAUUUUAAUCUCCUAAUCAGAAAUUGUAAUUUAUUUUGUCAGUGAAGCUGGGUGAUACCAUUUAAAGAAACAAGUGUUUAGGAAAGAGCAAUAUAUCUACUGCGUUUUGAAGUCUGUUGGAACAUCUGUUGGAGAAUGUAUGCCUGUAACCAGCGUUCUCAAUAGAUCUGGGAAGGGGGCAGAGCAGGUCUGCGUGUGGAACUGCUGACAUGCGCUGGUCUGGGGCCAAGACAAAUGAGCAGGAUCGACGCAGAAGGAAAACUGUGGAUAUUGCACGUGCCAUUAUCUUUGGGGCUACACGGGAUGAGUGAUCAUUUCUGUGAUUAGCUCGAAAGAAUUCAGAGGUUUUUCCCCAAUUUGAAUUGAACGCACUUGUUUAAAAAUAAAUUUCCUAUGUAAGCCAUGCUGAAUGAGUUAGAUAGAUAUGGCCAGAUAAUUGCCUGAACAAAGCAGACACGAGCUUGGAGUUGGAUGAAGAUAAAUUGUAUUAGCAACAAUGGAAAAAUGUGUACUAUCUGGAGUAUAAAUAUCUAAAAUAGUUUUAUCGGAGAGGAUUACGUUAGUAACAUUUUUUGAAAUGUACUGUUUAAACUUAAAGUAAUAAUUUUAGAGCAUGACUAAGACCUAAGAGCAUGGCUAUCAACUGGGAUGUCAAUUCUUUUUUUAAAAAUCUUUUUAUUUAUUAAAUUUUUUUAAAUUACA